AGCAGUCGCCGCGGGAAUACGGAGGGUGCAAGCGUUAUCCGGAUUUAUUGGGUUUAAAGGGUCCGUAGGCGGAUCUGUAAGUCAGUGGUGAAAUCUCACAGCUUAACUGUGAAACUGCCAUUGAUACUGCAGGUCUUGAGUAAAUUUGAAGUGGCUGGAAUAAGUAGUGUAGCGGUGAAAUGCAUAGAUAUUACUUAGAACACCAAUUGCGAAGGCAGGUCACUAAGAUUUAACUGACGCUGAUGGACGAAAGCGUGGGGAGCGAACAGGAUUAGAUACCCCUGUAGUCCCUGUCUCUUAUAA
rnacentral:rRNA from 1 species